UACAGAGGUCUCAAGCGUUGUUCGGAUUCAUUGGGCGUAAAGGGUGCGUAGGUGGCGGGGUAAGUCAGGUGUGAAAUCUCGGGGCUCAACCCCGAAACUGCACUUGAUACUGCCUUGCUCGAGUACUGGAGAGGAGAUUGGAAUUUACGGUGUAGCAGUGAAAUGCGUAGAUAUCGUAAGGAAGACCAGUGGCGAAGGCGGUUCUCUGGCAAUGUUCUGACGCUGAGGAGCGAAAGUGUGGGGAGCGAACAGG
rnacentral:rRNA from 1 species